GUGGAAAGUAUGUACUGUUUAUGCUGAACUGCUGUUUAAGACAGAAUUCAUCAAGUAGCAGAAGUGAUGGAAGGGCCAAGGGGAAGAAAGAUGGACAAAACCUGAAAAUUGAAAGUGCAAAUAAAAUGAAAAUUACAAAUGAAAACCAGUAUGCCUGAGAUAGACAUGCCUGUUUAGUAGAGUGUCUUCAUGUGGGUUAAAGAAGAAAAGGAAAUAUCAGCUGGAAUCAGCAGAACAGAUUUAGCACUUGACCCUUGGAUACUUUUCAUUCUAUUUAUCUAUCAUAUUUUUAUUGGUUUUUAUUCCAUUGACUACUAUAUGCACUGACCCUCAGCAAAUUCACUCAAUAGAGAGGAGAGAUUAUAUCUCCACUGUAUCAGUGGAGCUGCUUAGGAACAUUUCUCCCGCUUCUUGUAUGUAUUUUGUCCUAUUUGUACAUUGUAUUUUAUGAGCUGCUUUAGAAUAGUAGAAUAACUUUCCUUUAUAUGGUAUAGAACUUUUGAUAUAUCUCAACAAAAUUUUUAAAAAAUGAUCAUUUGAAAUGUAUGUUCUCAUACUGUAUGUGCAAAUAUCAGUAGUACAAACACUUAGGAUUAAUGAAAAUGAAAAUCCUAAUAUAUUAAACUUAGAAAAAUAGACUAAAUAUUUACUGAAAAGAAACAGAUAACCAAAAUUUCAUGAUACACAAUGAAAAGCCUCGAGACAUUAAAGAGGACUUUCACUGUCUUUGAUGAUGUCAUCUUUUACGUAUUAAGUUCUUCUAGCAUGGUAACUAGAACUAAAUUUUUAACUUAACUUCCUUUUAAA
rnacentral:lncRNA from 1 species